rnacentral:lncRNA from 1 species
CUCAUAUCCUAGAGCUCUCUUCCUACAGCCUCUAACAGCCUAUUACAUAGGCCUCUCUGUCUUCAUUUGCUUUCACUCCGACUAGAAUUGGAGCACCUCAAGGUACAGAGGAAAGACCAUGUGAAGACACAGGAAGAAGGUGACUGCCUACAAGCCCAGGACAGAAACUUCAGAAGGCAUCAACCUUGCUGACAGCUUGAUCUUGGAGACUCAGCCUACAGAAUUCAUACAGCUACCAAUAAAACAUGGCGAACUGCAGUUGAUUUGUCUGAUUAAGUUUGACACAGAAAGGAGGAAAAUAAAUAAGGUAACGGAGCAAUUUUCUUCAGAGAAUAUACAGAGAUUUGAUUGAGCUUUCCCAGUCUUACCACCAAAUAGCCUGCCCUUUGUUUGAUGUGAAUUUUAGAACAGGGAAAGAAAUAACUGAUUCAUUUUUGCUCCAGACGUAGCAUGAUCGGAAAGCUGGAAAUAUUCCUUUUUGAUAACUUUAUCACUGCUUUCUUUACCCAAUUUUAUUUUUGAAGUGAAAAUCAGAACACUUUUUCUUGGUCACAGUGAUGAAUGAUAAUUUGCUGAUUUUGUUUUUAACCUGGAGAAUUUCUCAGUACAGUGCACUAUUUUAUGUAAUAUCUUUGCAGAUUACAUUUAAGAGAAUUUGGGGGUUAAUCCUAAAAAUUAAAACUCUCGUGAUUUACGACAUGUCUAAUCUUAUAUCAACAUUAAUAACCCUUUUGAUAAUUUAUUUUGUGGGAUUUUUAAGAAAUAACUUUUUCCUGUCAUCAAAUAAUAUUUCUUACAAAAAUUCUUUAAAAACACGUGAACAAAAAUUAGAAAGUAAGAUAUCAUUAUUCCUUUACACUAGAGAAAAUAGCUGUUACCAUUCUGAUGAAUAUCCUUUUAUAUAUGAAUUAUAUAUAUAAUUACAAAAAUGAAAGCCAUCUGCGCAUACUGCUUUUUAACUUUUUUUUUUUACCUAAAAUGUAUUUUUAACUUCUUCUUAAGUAGUUACCUAUUUUUCUACUGUGUCAUUUUCUGCUAUAUUUGUGUCCCCCAGCAUUUUUCUUCUAUGAUAUUACUCCAUCUUGCCAUCUGAAGUAGUUACUCUGCUAAAUUUUGUGUUUUAUUCUCUUUCCUGCUUUUUAAAAAACACUUUCAUGGUAACAUACUCAGAAGUAUGCAUAAUAUAUAAAUGGACAGCUUAACGUGCUAUCUUAAAGUAAUCUCAUGUAUAAGCACCAUAUGUAACUGCCACCCUGAUUCAUCUCUGUUUAACUUCUAG